rnacentral:RNase_P_RNA from 2 species
ACGUUCAGGUAAUCGCUGCAGUCGUAUAGGACUGUAGAGGAAAGUCCAUGCUCGCACGGUGCUGAGAUGCCCGUAGUGAUCGUGCCUAGCGAAUUCAUAAGCUAGGGCAGCUUAGGUUUAACCCUGAGUUGACGGCAGGGAAAAAGCCUAAGUCCUAUGGAUAUGGCUUGACUACCUUGAAAGUGCCACAGUGACGAAGUCUUACAAGAAAUUGUAAGAGUGGAACGGGGUAAACCCCACGAGCGAGAAACCCAAAUAAUGGUAGGGGCACCUUCUUGAAGGAAAUGAACGAAGAGAAGGACAGGGGCAUCAUGUUCCUGUAGAUAGAUGAUUACCACCUGAGUACGAGGCAAUGCCGUUUGGAGUACAAUGGAACAAAACAUGGCUUAUCGAA